rnacentral:rRNA from 1 species
GAUGGUGGUCAUAGCCGGGGUGUUCACCUCUUCCCAUUCCGAACAGAGCCGUUAAGCCCCCCCACGCCGAUGAUACUGGGUUCAGCCCCGGGAAAGUAGGUCACCGCCACAA